CNNCGUCCUCAGCCANCCUGGCNNGUCGGCGGCAGCCGAGACUUGACCUAGGGCGGCGGGGAGGGUGAUAACCCUAGGAAUUGCCUGGUAGUGGGGGUUAACGCUCGGAAACGGACGCUAAUACCGCAUACGUCCUACGGGAGAAAGCAGGGGACCUUCGGGCCUUGCGCUAUCAGAUGAGCCUAGGUCGGAUUAGCUAGUUGGUGAGGUAAUGGCUCACCAAGGCGACGAUCCGUAACUGGUCUGAGAGGAUGAUCAGUCACACUGGAACUGAGACACGGUCCAGACUCCUACGGGAGGCAGCAGUGGGGAAUAUUGGACAAUGGGCGAAAGCCUGAUCCAGCCAUGCCGCGUGUGUGAAGAAGGUCUUCGGAUUGUAAAGCACUUUAAGUUGGGAGGAAGGGCAGUUACCUAAUACGUGAUUGUUUUGACGUUACCGACAGAAUAAGCACCGGCUAACUCUGUGCCAGCA
rnacentral:rRNA from 1 species